rnacentral:rRNA from 1 species
AUUGAACGCUGGCGGCAGGCCUAACACGUGCAAGUCGAGCGGAUGAAGGGAGCUUGCUCCUGGAUUCAGCGGCGGACGGGUGAGUAAUGCCUAGGAAUCUGCCUGGUAGUGGGGGAUAACGUCCGGAAACGGGCGCUAAUACCGCAUACGUCCUGAGGGAGAAAGUGGGGGAUCUUCGGACCUCACGCUAUCAGAUGAGCCUAGGUCGGAUUAGCUAGUUGGUGGGGUAAAGGCCUACCAAGGCGACGAUCCGUAACUGGUCUGAGAGGAUGAUCAGUCACACUGGAACUGAGACACGGUCCAGACUCCUACGGGAGGCAGCAGUGGGGAAUAUUGGACAAUGGGCGAAAGCCUGAUCCAGCCAUGCCGCGUGUGUGAAGAAGGUCUUCGGAUUGUAAAGCACUUUAAGUUGGGAGGAAGGGCAGUAAGUUAAUACCUUGCUGUUUUGACGUUACCAACAGAAUAGGCACCGGCUAACUUCGUG